CCUUAUUAAGAGAGGCUGAGGGAAUAGGCCCUGUGACGCCCGGCAACCUGUGUGCCUUAUGUGGGUUGAUUGUAUGACUGACAUGCGAGACCUGUAUACGGCAGAAAAGGUGCUAAAUCCUACAGGACGAUGGACUGGAAGAUGAGG
rnacentral:ncRNA from 1 species